UAUUAUAUCUUAUCUAAGAAGUUCUAGUCAACUAAAAGUUGAUAUGAAUUUUUUCAUUGAUUAUCAUCAUCUUUGUAAACCAUCUGUGGUGAGUAUUAGUUAGCUACUUAAUUCGUUGGUUCAAUCUUCAUAACUUCUUAUUGUAUUUGUGUCUGGAUUACAUAGGAUGUACAACACCCGGUGCUAUUUCAAGUAUCAAACAUUUGUACCUUCGCUAUGUUCCAGAAAAUGAAACUUUGUUUUUAUCUAUUGUAAAUAUCUUACUUUCAAGUUGCUGCCCUGCAUUUAUAUCUUUGAGCCCACAUCCUUCUUGCAGUAGAUCGUUCAUUGAGCUUUUAUAUGAGACGCUAAUGGAAAGAAAAGGGGAUGACUGCUUGUGCAGUUCUAGUGAUACUAAGUGUUGGUGGCAUGGCUUGAAGAAUGUGAAAGUCAUAAGCUCGGUGAAGAUUGAUGAGAAUAUUGAUUUCAAGACCAUGCUAGAAUUGUUGCCAAAUGGAG